UACGUAGGGUGCGAGCGUUGUCCGGAAUUAUUGGGCGUAAAGGGCUCGUAGGCGGUUUGUCGCGUCGGGAGUGAAACCAGGUGCUUAACACCUGGCUUGCUUUCGAUACGGGCAGACUAGAGGUAUUCAGGGGAGAACGGAAUUCCUGGUGUAGCGGUGAAAUGCGCAGAUAUCAGGAGGAACACCGGUGGCGAAGGCGGUUCUCUGGGAAUGACCUGACGCUGAGGAGCGAAAGUGUGGGAGCGAACAGG
rnacentral:rRNA from 1 species